UACAGAGGGGGCAAGCGUUAUUCGGAAUUAUUGGGCGUAAAGGGCGCGUAGGCGGCUUGGCAAGUGGAAGGUGAAAUCCCUCGGCUUAACCGAGGAACUGCCCUCCAAACUGCUUUGCUUGAGGCCGGGAGAGGCGAGUGGAAUUCCCAGUGUAGCGGUGAAAUGCGUAGAUAUUGGGAGGAACACCAGUGGCGAAGGCGGGUCUCUGGCCCGGUACUGACGCUGAGGUGCGAAAGCGUGGGGAGCAAACAGG
rnacentral:rRNA from 1 species